AAUUUAUUGGACUACGCCAGGGGACCUUAAGUGUGGCUGAAUACGAAACGAAAUUCACCAAACUAUCCAAGUUUGCUUCCGAAUUAGUAGCCACGGAACCGAGAAGAGUGAGACGGUUUAUACAGGGACUAAAUUUGGACAUCCAAGAGGCGUUAGCAGCAGCGUAAGUGAAUACGUUUACGGAGGCCCUUGAGAAGGCUCAACGAAUCGAGAAUGCAAAGGCACAAGUAAAAGCCUCCCAAACUCGGAAAAAAGGUGCAGCUGGUAGUAUGAGUGAGGAACCAAAUGAAUCGAUAGCCCCUUCCAAAGUGCAGAAAGUGAAUUUUUUGUCCCACCCACCAUGGACAAGAGGGGCGUCAGAUGAACGAUCUACAAAAAGAAGUCAAGUAGGCCAUGGGGAGAUUUUUCAAAAAAGCCAACAAGUGGCUUCUUCCUUGACUUGUGGCUACUGUGGAAAGGCCAAUCACACUGAGAGUGAUUGUUGGAGGAGAGGGCGGAAGUGUUUGAUUUGCGGAAGUGGUGACCACCAGGUUAGCAACUGUCCGAGGAAACAGUCACGUGAAAAUAGUACCCAACAACUGGAGGGCACUAAAUCAAAAUAAGCGAAUGAAAGAGGGAACCGAACAAAAGUACCGGCAAGGGUAUAUGCUUUAGACAACCAACAAACUCUUGAGCCAUCUGAAGGUAAAAAUUUCGAGGACGAAAUUUCUUAAGGGGGAGAGAUUGUGAGGACCCGCAAAAUUCUCCUUGUUUUAUUUUAUUUCAUUCUAUUUUAUUUUUCCGCGUGUAUUUUCCUUGCUUUCAAUCAAUUAAUCAUUUAAUUUUCAGAGAUUUUAUAAGUGAGUAUCGUUUUUAAAUCAUUUGUUUUAGGAUAAGUGCGUACAUGUUAAAUUUGAGGUGCAUUAUGAUUGUGAGAUCCUGGAUUCCAAAUUGUCUCAAAUAAAUUAAAUAUGGAUAUUUAUAGUAGCUAUUGUGUGAAAAAUAUAUUUUACCAUGUGUUUUAAUUUUCAAAGAGUAUUUUACAUACCAAAAGUGAAAAAUUUAAUUGAAUCCUUAAAAUCCUACUUUCAAAACUAAACCGUUAAGUUUAAAUUAAAUUCAACCAAUUAAUAUUUUCGUGAUUGUAUGUGCAUCCAUGCAUGUUUAGUACGGGGGUUUGAGUGAUUAGUACCUUGGGUUGGUGGGCUUAAGUUAGUUUUAAUUAAACUAAGUAAACCAAUGGGUUAAUUACAUUGGAUCAAGUAGAGUUUUAGUGUUGGGCCUUUAAGUUUUAAUUUCAUUAGAAGCCUAAGCCAUAAACCCAUUA
rnacentral:lncRNA from 1 species